AAAAGAUGCUGUGUCCCGAAUUGCAAUAAGUCACGUGGAGAGGGAAAUAUUUUGCAUUUAUUUCCGAAUCCUGAUCCUGAAAACUUGGACAGAUUUUUAGUAUGGGCAAAAGCAGUCAGCAGGUGGUGACAUUUUAUUGUUAGAUGAACAGACUGUUUUUAGGUGCAGAAGAAUUUGCCAUCAUCACUUUGAGCCGCAAUAUGAAACACGGAGCAAUAGGCUUAGUCCAGCUGCAGUACCCACCCUUUAUUUGCAAGCUUUCCAGUCACGACAACCUUUGGAAGAUAUAUCUAAUCGGUCAAAUACUCCAAAUUCAAUGCAGCCGGCUCCAUCAACUUCAACUUCACAGACUGCUACUAGUGUAAUGGAGACAUGUGCAACUGUGAAAGAUAAUGCCCAAAGAAAAAUUGUUAACAAUUUCAAUUCUCAUCUUGCAGCUUUGGGAAAUAAAAUAAAAAAAUUACAAAAUGCAAAAGAUUCUGCAAUGACAAGACUUAAAAAAGCGCUAAGAUUGUCUGAAAAUAUUACUUUACAAAAAGCCUUAAAAAAAUUUACCACUACUGCUGCAGUAUUAACCUUUAACUAUGGACGCGCGGUCUGACAGACCGCUCUCGUUUCUGAAAAUUGUAUUUACCCUACUUCCCCUCACUCCUCGCUCUUGUGACGUUUAGUAGCUUCGACUUUAGUGGCGAAACGACUGUGAAGAAGAGAAGUUGUAUCGCUGGCUGCAAUUUGGCUGAGAAAUUUUGUUUUAAAUUUCGCCUGCGGUCUGUGAGACCGCGAGUCCACGUUUUCAAUACAAACAUUUAUUGACUGCGAUUAUAUUUUUUAUAGGAUAUAAGCAAAAAAAAUAUCAAAAAACAUAAAACCGAGUACUUCUGCGGCUAAACUAACUUCAAGGUCAACGUGGGACGGCCCAACAGAUGUCAAAAAAAAAAAACGCAUUGACGAUCCUUCAUUUGAAGAUGAAAUUAAUCAAAUGCUUUUCGAGUCAGAUCAAUCCGAAGAUGAAAACAACGUUGCCGUUUGUUUAGUAUUUGCUGUAGACAUCAAACCUGAAAUUAUUCACUACUAUAACUCCACUAAAGGAGGAGUAGACGAGACUGACAAGAAAUGUUCUAUAUAUAGCAGUAGCCGUAGAACAAGAAGGUGGCCUAUGGUCAUUUUCUAUAGGAUACUGGACUUGUGUGCAGUGAAUGCUCACAUUCUACAUAAUCAGCAUCAGCGAAAAGCAAUAGAAAGAAGGAAUUUUAUUAUGAAAUUAGCCUCCUUGGUCGUACCACAAAUGCAAAGAUGUGAAAUCCAUUUAAACCUUAAAUUUGCCAAAGGAAUUGCAUAUGACAUUGAAGCGCGUUUUAGGAGCAGAUCUGCCUAUUGCGGAGCCCCCUACUUUAGAAAUCGAGUAUUCGAAACGAAAGACCUACCGAAUCUGUCCACCUAAACUAAAGAGGAAGACUAACUACACUUGUGUUGGCUGUAAAAAAGCUAUAUGCCUUCAGUGUUCUAAGCCUUUGUAAAAUGACUGUCAAAAAUUUUACUGCUAUUGGACCUUUGU